UUAAUGAAUUUGAAGACCCCAACUUGCAGACUUGAAGAAUUUGAAGACCUCAACUUGCAGACUUGGAGGACUUUGAAGACAUUAAUU
rnacentral:pre_miRNA from 1 species